rnacentral:SRP_RNA from 2 species
GCCAGGCGUGGUGGUGCAUGCCUGUAAUCCCAGCUACUCGGGAGGCUGAGGCAGGAGAAUUGCUUAAACCCGGGAGGCGGAGGUUGCAGUGAGCCGAGAUGUUGCCACUGCACUCCAGCCUGGGCAAUAGAGCAAGACCCUGUCUCAA